rnacentral:rRNA from 1 species
UGAACAUCGACAUCUUGAACGC